AUUGAACGCUGGCGGCAUGCCUUACACAUGCAAGUCGAACGGUAACAGGUCUUCGGAUGCUGACGAGUGGCGAACGGGUGAGUAAUACAUCGGAACGUGCCCGAUCGCGGGGGAUAACGAGGCGAAAGCUUUGCUAAUACCGCAUACGACCUACGGAUGAAAGCGGGGGAUCUUCGGACCUAGUCCGGACGGAGCGGCCGAUGGCAGAUUAGGUAGUUGGUGGGAUAAACGCUUACCAAGCCGACGAUCUGUAGCUGGUCUGAGAGGAUGAUCAGCCACACUGGGACUGAGACACGGCCCAGACUCCUACGGGAGGCAGCAGUGGGGAAUUUUGGACAAUGGGCGAAAGCCUGAUCCAGCCAUGCCGCGUGCAGGAUGAAGGCCUUCGGGUUGUAAACUGCUUUUGUACGGAACGAAAAGCCUCUUUCUAAUAAAGAGGGGUCAUGACGGUACCGUAAGAAUAAGCACCGGCUAACUACGUGCCAGCAGCCGCAGUAA
rnacentral:rRNA from 1 species